UUAACUAUUGGUGGCGGAUAAACUUCUGGUGUUGUUGGUGAGGGUGUGGGUGUGGGUGUGGAUGUGGGUGGUGGUACAUUAUAUGAUGGUACUGGAGUAGGAGUUUGCGGUGAUAUGAUAGGUGGUGGAGUGGGAGACGGUGGCUGAGCGAUGGGUGGAGUGGGGGACGGUGGCUGAGCGAUGGGUGGUGUAGGGUACGGUGGUUGAAUGACUGGUGGUGGAGUGGGGGAUUGUGGUGGCAUGACAGGUGGUGUAGGGUACUGGGGUGGUGUAACCGGUGGUGGUGUAGGGGAUUGUGGUGGCAUGACUGGUGGUGUUGUGGGGGAUUGUGGUGGAAUGCUUGGUGGUUGAGUAGGAGGUUUUGGUGGCAGGCCAGGCGGUAAACUAGGGGGCUGUGGUGGAAUGCUUGGUGGUUGAGUAGGAGGUUUUGGUGGUAGGCCAGGUGGUAAACUAGGGGGCUGUGGUGGAAUGCUUGGUGGUUGAGUAGGGGGUAAUGGUGGCAUGAUUGGUACGACAUAUGGGGGAGAAGAGGGUUCUGGUGGCAUGACUGGUCCUCCACUAGGGGUUGGUGGAGUACUUAUUGGAGGUGGAUGAACACAUUGGCAAGGUGGUGUUUGUGGUGGCGGCGGCGGUGGUGAUUGUGGUGGUAGCGGUUUAUGUGGCUUGCUAGGUGGUGGAGGAGGUGGUGGUUUAUGUGGCUUGCUUGGUGUUGGAGGAGGUGGUGGUUUAUGUGGCUUGCUUGGCGUUGGAGAAGGUGGUGGUUUAUGUGGCUUGCUAGGUGUUGGAGGAGGUGGGGGUGAUGGAGGUGUCAUGACAGGGUUGCACGGCGGCGGAGGUGGAGGUGGUGGAAUGACAGGGUUACAAGGCGGUGGUGACGGGGUGUGUGGUGGUGGAGGAGAAUAGUAUGGAUAAGCCAUGUCUGGUGGUGGUGGUGAUGGUGGUGGAGGCGGUGGUGGCGGUGGUGGUGGCGAUGGGGUUGGUGGUGGUGGAGGAGAAUAGUAUGGAUAAGGCAUGUUUGGUGGUGAUGGUGGUGGUGGAGAAUAGUAUGGAUAAGCCAUGUGAAUGGUACUUUUGAGAGAAGGCAUUUUUAGACUGUUUCUCCUCUCACUGGAU
rnacentral:lncRNA from 1 species